AUUGAACGCUGGCGGCAGGCCUAACACAUGCAAGUCGAACGAGUGGCGGACGGGUGAGUAAUUUCUGGGCAACUGCCUGAUGGAGGGGGAUAACUACUGGAAACGGUAGCUAAUACCGCAUACCAUCAGAUGUGGCCAGAUGGGAUGAGCUAUUGGGGGGGGUAACGGCUCACCAAGGCGACGAUCCCUAGCUGGUCUGAGAGGAUGACCGGCCACAAUGGAACUGAGACACGGGCCAGACGCCUACGGGAGGCAGCAGUGGGGAAUAUUGGGCAAUGGGCGCAAGCCUGAUGCAGCCAUGCCGCGUGUAUGAAGAAGGCCUUCGGGUUGUAAAGUACUUUCAGCGGGGAGGCGGUACCUACAGAAGAAGCACCGGCUAACUCCGUGCCAGCAGCCGCGGUAAUAC
rnacentral:rRNA from 1 species